CCAGUAGAAAUAAGAGUCAUCUACGUAUACUUUUAUUGACCACAUACAUAUCCACCGAGUUCUAUUCUAUAUAAAAUAGUAUAAAAUUAUAACUUUAUCUACAACCCUUAAAUAUAAACAUAUCCCAAAUCCAAUCCUUACAUAUUAAAACUUAUUCCAAUCUCACUCAACCUCUAUACUAAACUCUAAACUGUAAACUCUAAACUCUAAUCAGUAAACCCUAAGUUCAAAUCUAAACCAUAAACCCAAAUAUAAACCAUAAACCCAAAUAUAAGCACAAAAUCCAAAUAGAAUUAAACAAAAAAAUAACAUAGUACAUAUUUGUGAAAUUAUAAAAUAUCUAUAAUUGCAUGGAAGAAGUUAUUACUGACUUCAACCAUACUCCUUCACCUUCUAAAUACUAAACCUUAAACUCUAAUCACUCAACUCUUACCCAAAUAUAAAUCCUAAACCCCUAAAUACUAACCCAAUCCUAAUCACACCUCAACCCCUAAAUCCUAAACCA
rnacentral:lncRNA from 1 species